AUUGAACGCUGGCGGCAGGCCUCAUACAUGCAAGUCGAGCGAGCGGCGGCCGUGUUAGUAAUGUCUGGGAAACUUCCUGAUGAACGGUUAUCACUACUGGACACCGUAGCUAAUACCGCCUUCUAGUAUAUGUUCCCAGAUGGGUUUAGCUGGUAGGUGGGGUAACGGCUCACCUAGGCGACGAUCCCUAGCGGGUCUGAGAGGAUGACCAGCCACACUGGAACUGAGACACGGUCCAGACUCCUACGGGAGGAAGCAGUGGGGAAUAUUGCACAAUGGGCGCAAGCCUGAUGCAGCCAGGCCGCGUGUGUGAAGAAGGCCUUCGGGUUGUAAAGCACUGUCAGCGGGGAGGCGUUACCCGCAGAAGAAGCACCGGCUAACUCCGUGCCAGCAGCCGCGGUAAUAC
rnacentral:rRNA from 1 species